UACGUAGGGCGCGAGCGUUGUCCGGAUUUAUUGGGCGUAAAGAGCUCGUAGGCGGCUUGUCGCGUCGACUGUGAAAACCCGUGGCUCAACCAUGUGGUCUGCAGUCGAUACGGGCAGGCUAGAAUUCGGUAGGGGAGACUGGAAUUCCUGGUGUAGCGGUGAAAUGCGCAGAUAUCAGGAGGAACACCGGUGGCGAAGGCGGCAUCCUGGACCGGUAUUGACGCUGAGGCGCGAAAGCCAGGGGAGCAAACGGG
rnacentral:rRNA from 1 species